rnacentral:rRNA from 1 species
CCUACGGGGGGCAGCAGUGGGGAAUAUUGCACAAUGGGCGCAAGCCUGAUGCAGCCAUGCCGCGUGUGUGAAGAAGGCCUUCGGGUUGUAAAGCACUUUCAGCGGGGAGGAAGGCGUUAAGGUUAAUAACCUUGGCGAUUGACGUUACCCGCAGAAGAAGCACCGGCUAACUCCGUGCCAGCAGCCGCGGUAAUACGGAGGGUGCAAGCGUUAAUCGGAAUUACUGGGCGUAAAGCGCACGCAGGCGGUCUGUCAAGUCGGAUGUGAAAUCCCCGGGCUCAACCUGGGAACUGCAUUCGAAACUGGCAGGCUAGAGUCUUGUAGAGGGGGGUAGAAUUCCAGGUGUAGCGGUGAAAUGCGUAGAGAUCUGGAGGAAUACCGGUAGCGAAGGCGGCCCCCUGGACAAAGACUGACGCUCAGGUGCGAAAGCGUGGGGAGCAAACAGGAUUAGAUACCCGGGUAGUC